rnacentral:ncRNA from 2 species
CGCUAGCGAUGACGUGAUGGUUUCCGCGCCCUUCGGGGCCGGGAUGAAAAGGGAACACGGUGCGGUUCUGCCCGGCUGAAGCCGGAAUGAGCCAAAUCCGCGACUGCCCCCGCAACUGUAAGCGGAGAGCAAUGCCGAAACACCACUGGCCUGAGGGUCGGGAAGGGCGGCAAAGCGACGACCCGCAAGUCAGGAGACCUGCCAUCGGAAACGAAACUGG